rnacentral:lncRNA from 1 species
CUUUGGUCAUCCUAAUCCAGAGAGAGACAUACCUCAGGCAGUGAGUCGAUGAACUGGUGGAUGUUGGCCUCCCUGGCGGCCCUCACGAUCUCCUCAUGAGACACGACACGGCUGUUGUCUCCGUAGGCGAUGUUCUCGGUGAUGCUGCAGUCAAACAGGAUGGGCUCCUGGGACACAAUGCCCAGGUGGGCGCGGAGCCACUGGACGUUGAGUUGUUUUAUUUCUUUGCCAUCUAGAAACUGAAAGCAAGGGUUCACGGAUCAGCUUCAGGACCAGUAUCAUUCAGAUUUAGCAAAAAUCACCACCAUUACUUCAUACUUUACAACUGGGGCUGCCACGAGAGGAAAGAAGUCUUGCUCACUUUACCUUGGAGGUUUAAGGACCAAAAAGUCAGUGGCUGGAGAGAUGGUGGCACAGUGGUUAAGAGCACUCACUGCUCUUCGGAAGAUCCUGAGUUCAAUUCUGAGUACCCAUAUGGCAUCUCACACCUGUCUGAUACCGGGAGUGCAGAUGUACAUGCAAGUACCCAUAUACAUAAAAUUCACAAAUAAAUAAAUAAGUCUUAGAACAAACAAA